UUGAAGUUGGACAUUGUGCGAGCUUUUGACUCGGUCUCUUGGCCGUUCCUCAUGGAGGUGCUGUAGCACUUGGGUUUUGGCCCAAGAUAGUGCGAGUGGGUCUCCAUUCUGAUCUCUACAACAUCCACACGCGUUUUGAUCAACGGGACGCCCGGACCUCCCAUUCCCCACGGGCAGGGACUUCGGCAGGGAGACCCCAUCUCUCCCAUGCUCUUUACACUGGUCAUUGACACACUCAAUACCCUGCUCCAGUUCACAGUCCAGUCCGGCAUCAUCAAGCGCCUCACGCAAUGGCAUGCUGCUUCCAGCAUUUCCUUAUUCGUCGAUGAUGUGGUUAUACUCUACCACCCUGACUCUGCGGAGCUCUCCAUGGUCAGCAAGCUGCUGGACCUAUUUGGAGCCACCUCCAGCCUGCGCACCAACUUUGCCAAGUGCCUUGCCGCGCCUAUUCAAUGCCUCGAUGACAUCUCAAGCUUCAUUGGCUCUGCGCUUUCUUGUCUUGUCGUGCAUUUCAUGAUCCAGUACAUGGGCCUUCCGUUGUCCAUCAAGAAGGUGCCAUCCUCCCAGCUCAUGCCGAUCAUUGAGAAGCUCACGCGCAAGCUUGCCACCUAGAAGGCCGCCCUCCUCAAUCGUGGUGAGUGUCUCGCCCUGGUCCGCCAGGUCCCGAGUGACAUGCCGGUCCAUCUGCUCCUGGCCAUGGCGAUCUCCCCGCCUAUACUCAAGAAGGCCAAUCGCAUCCUUCGUGACUUCCUGUGGCAUGGACGCAAUGAUGCGCGCGCUGGAUCCUGUUUGGUCAGUUGGGCGCGCGUUUGUCGCCCCCUUGACAUGGGCGGCUUGGGCAUCCGUGAGCUCUGUUGCACUGGGAUCUCCCUACGAGUUCGUUGGCUCUGGCUUCAAGCUACCGACCCCUCUCGGCCAUGGGCUCACCUCAAGCUCCCCCACGACCCCGAGGUGCUUCAGUUUUUUGGGCUUCCACAAUCUGGACCAUAG
rnacentral:rRNA from 1 species